rnacentral:lncRNA from 1 species
CAUCCUCGUUGUUAUCCAGGAUUGGUUUUUGAAGACAUUCAAAAUCUGCAUAUAUGAUAUGUGGUACCUUUAGCUGUUUACGAAUGUCUUUAUACAGUAACCACUUAUUGUCUCCAUUGCAUACUUCAAUAAUUUGGGGUCCGUGGGUCUGGCAGUUUGGUAAAUGACCGUUUAAAAGUUUUUCUUUGGUAAAUCCGUUUAAAUAGUAUGGACAGUGAAAAUGUCGUGCGUGAUGGCUAUGCUGGUCCCCCAAUAGUCGAUUGAGAUCCUUAAUCCAGCAGAAAUGUGAUUUUUUGCUAUCUGAUAUCAUGAGUUGAUUAACAUGUUGUUCCAAA